CCUACGGGAGGCAGCAGUGAGGAAUAUUGGUCAAUGGGCGAGAGCCUGAACCAGCCAAGUCGCGUGAGGGAGUACUGCCCUAUGGGUUGUAAACCUCUUUUGUCGGGGAGCAAAAGCCGGACGUCUCCGCCUGUGAGAGUACCCGAAGAAAAAGCAUCGGCUAACCCCGUUCCAGCAGCCGCGGUAAUACGGAGGAUGCGAGCGUUUUUCGGAUUUAUUUGGUUUAAAGGGUGCGCAGGCGGAUUUUUAAGUCAGCGGUCAAAGCGUGGGGCUCAACCCCCUCCAGCCGUUGAAACUGGGGAUCUCGAGUGUGCGAGAGGUAUGCGGAAUGCGUGGUGUAGCGGUGAAAUGCAUAGAUAUCACGCAGAACCCCGAUUGCGAAGGCAGCAUACCGGUGCACAACUGACGCUCAGGCACGAAAGCGUGGGUAUCGAACAGGAUUAGAUACCCGGGUAGUC
rnacentral:rRNA from 1 species